ACAUGUUCUCUUGAAAGUCAGAUACGGUAGCCAAGUAGUUCGAGGCAGCAGACACAGCCUGCCUAUGUCUUCCCGAAACCACAUGUCUGUUCUCUGAAACGCAGCUCAGACUCUCAGGCUGUCCGUGUAGGCUACAAGGUCCUGCUGAUCCGCUCUUGUCAUGAGGAAGACCCGGGGCUUCGUUUUUCUCAACACAACACAUUCACUUAACACACACACGCUCGCAAACACGAACCCCUCACGCACGCACAAACACACACACACACAGGUCGAUCGAUUUGCAUGUGACUUCGUCAGGGAAUGAGCGAGAAUCGACUUAAAAACAACGCUUCAAAGAGGCAAACAGCCAUGAAAAAUAAAAAAGAAAAGAUGGACAAAGUGGGGUAAAGAGGAAAAGUGUAGCUAUAAAGGGACUAAGACAGGGCGGAGGGAUUGCACAUUUCAGAGAGAGACGUGUCGGAGAAGAACAAAAAUGUGUUUAUCCAGAAGAGGAUUUUAUAAGCACACGACGGUGCUGAAAACCCUGGAUGUGGCAAGUGUCAAAUCUGUCAAAAUUAGAAAGCCAGAGAUGUUCCCUUUCGCCGGACGCUCACGGACCCACAGGCUGGACUUGGAGCUCCUUUUCUGGGCUGCGCUCAUGUGGAGCUGCCGCUGCCCUUCGUCCGCUCAACACAGCCCCUUUCUUAUUGCAUCUGUGCCUUAAAACACGCUUCUCGACACCCAUAAGCCCACUAUACCUUUUCCCGAUCCCACCGAAAUGCACAUAUUUGUUUUAAAACCGUGUUUUUCUACGGUCAACUGCUUGGAGAGGAUCGCUGUCUUGCCCAUUAUCUUCCAUUCAUGAGGAGGAGAGGACGAACGCUGAUGUAAACACAGUUGCUGCGCUGCGCUGUUUACCACAACAUCGCUGCACAUAUGAGAGGCUGGUGUCCGGCACUCCAUGUGUCUAGGGUGGAUAGGGCAGCACAGCCAGGUGCAAUGGGAGCGCCCUCUUAUGUUCAGCCUGACCACUGGGAUCAAGCAGCGCAUCAACUCUCUUACAGGAGCCAAGCGCCUGCGGACCAGCUGCUCUUUGCAAAAGCGCACCUUUGCCUUUCAGUCUAACAUUAUAUAUUAGACUGCCUCGCAUGUAAAUGAUGUAAAUGAACAUGGUCGUGUUAUUGCGUGGUCAAACGAGAUGUACACUGUCCACGGCGGAAAUCACAAACAUUUCAGAUAAACAUUUCACCAAAAUAGUUGGUCUGUUAAUGACAGUGCCUACACUGCCCGAACCGGCCAUUAUUUUAAAUAGCCACUUGACUGUUAGGGAGUGACAGGGAGCAAAAGCCCAACACAGAUCAAACUUGAGCCUAAUUAGCGGAAUCCUGCAGAAAUCAGCACAGUUGAUAUACAGAUCUAUAUACAUAAGAAAACAUUAUUUAACUAAAAAUAUGUACAUUUAAUUAAAGAUGAACUUUUUUUGAGUCGUUAUAAUUUGUCUAUGACUGUAGAUGCAAUAUGUUUUACACACUAGAUGAUUUUCCACAAUCAUGCUUAAAGCAUACGUCCCUGGUGGACAGGAAACACAUCUUUUUGCAAACCUUUACUUAUAUGCAUUUUAUUUCUUCGACUUUUCUAAAGCAGUAUUGGCAAAUAUUCAAAUAUUGCAUCCAUCUGUGGCCUCGUAGUUUCCUUUUUUAUCCUUGUGUCAUGUUUGGCACGCGGAGAAUGUACCUGAAGUGGAUAUAACUCAGUAUGAUGAUUUUUUUGUAGCCUUCUGUAUAAAACUGAAAUGCAACGUUUGUAAUUAUCAUUGCUGCUGUUUUACUUAUAGUCUUGCCUGUAUUGUUGCAUGUAUUAUUACAGAUCAUUUAUUCAUCAUUCAACUGGUUUUCACUUUAUUUGAGAAGCAUAAAUGUAUCCCCACAGUAUAAAUCUGCCCUCAGUGUUUUACAUGACUAAAUCUUGUACUGGUGAUAUUGGUGGAUAUUUGGUUUAAACUUUUUACAAAUGCUGUGGUGUUAAAAGCAUGUGUGUUGAUGAUGUGAAAUGUUGUUGUCGGGUUUUUGUUUGUUUGUUUGUUUUUGUUCCAGAUAUUCUGUAUGUCUUAUUAUGUGAAUGUUUUGGCUUCUGUUUUUUUUUUUUUGUUGACUAUAUGAUUGCCUGUUUAUAGCAAUAUGUUUCAAUUUAUUUUUGAUUGAUAUUUUAUUUUAGUUUGGUGAUCUAAGAAGUAAAUACUCUUGCAAUAAAAUAUUAAUAUUAAAAUGC